GAGACCAAAGUCAGGCCAAAAGGAACCAGCAAGUCAAAUGCCAUCAGGGGACUAAGAGCCCGAGAGGAAGUUAGGGUACAGCCUUUAUUGUCUAGAUUUCUUCAAAUGAAGUCAGUGUCCAAGAAAGGCAAACCCAUCCUGGCUGUGUUUAAGCCUAAUCCAGCCGUAGCUAGCCUGUGCCACCUGCUUUGUGUUACAUAAGCCAUAGAUUUUUGCCUCAGACAGAUUUCUGUCUUCUGUAAUCACAGAAUCAAAAUGUGAGGAAGAGAGGGACUGGCUCAUCUUUUCUCAAAGCCUUUACCGGGAAGGACUCAGAGGGCCUUGCCUCGUGUACUCCGUCCCCUUUGAGUCUGCCUCUGUCCCAGAAGAUAUUGCUGAGCACCGCAGACAUACUGUGCUCAUGAGCAGCACGCCAUCGUGUAGAUAGAUUCAAUCUCUGCUGAUUGACAUUUGGGUUGAGUCUAUUCCCUAGGAUCAGACAAAAGGUAUCUGCAGCCAGCAGCGACUCCGGGGGCAGUGAGCAAGCCAGCCCUUGAGGAUUCUACCUGGCUGCAGCACAGUGUACCUGGCCUCUGGGUAAAGACCAAUUCUUCAUCUCAAAAUUGUUCAGCAAGCUAUGGACACGCUUUCGAGGAGCUGGGCACACAGGGUGGAAUCCCCUGCCUCUGUGUCAGAUGACUGGAAACCACGCUACCAUUUCUAGCACCCAGAAUCACAGGGUUUUGGAGUGAGCUCAAGCAAUUGCAGACUUCCUCUUUCCACCUGCCCAGAACUCCUGCUCCACGGGUUCCAGGAGCUGGCCGCCUAGUUGCUGGAGCAGCUAGAACUGAAGCUAGCUGAUCCCAUCCUGGAGUCCUGAUAGCACACAGGGUGCUGAAACCCUGCUUCUCCCUGCCUCAGAGCUGGCCUCCUCCGUCCCUCAGCAGUCCUGCCCAGUGCUCAGGCACACACUCAACACGCAUCAGCAGGGCAUAAAUAUUUAUGACAUGCAACAAAUGCAGUGGCUUAUAGGAUUCCUGGAGCUUCAGGCGGGCGCUCUUUGCGCAAGAAGCAUUUUUAUGUGAGGAGGGGGGCAGUGGGCAGGAGAGCAGUGUGUGCAAGCAGAGACGGGGCUCUUAGCCUCCUAGAAUGUUCUGGAAGCCUGCCCUUCACUGCGGCAGCUGAGUGUUUCCAUUUGUGGGGAGGCUUGGCUGGCAGCUGCCACCAUGCUCUCUGAUAAUCCACCAGCCUUAGAAGCGUGCUCUUCAGAAGCCCCGCCCUGAUGCUACCAGAUGUUCACCAACCAGAGGACGGAGAGAAUUCCAUCUGGAAGCUGAGUCCUCAGGAGGUGGGUAGAGCACAGGGUUCCUAUUCUCAUUGUCACAAGCUUCUAGAUGGUUCUCAGAGUGGAAACCAAGGAUGGCUGCCUCUGCCCCCUACCAAAGCCCCCUUAGGGCGAUUCAACCACAUUCCCAGCACCUAGCCCCCAAGGCAAGAAAUGCAAGUACCAGCCAACUGUGGUGGUAGACAUUUGUAAUCCAAGCACCCUAGCCAGCUCCAGCAAAACUGAAGUCGUACAGUAGGACCCUGUCUCACAAAUCAAUCAAACAAACAAGGGACUGCACAUAUCUCAGACUUCCAACAAUAAACAAAGGUUCACACAUAUCUGCGUCAAUCCCUUCCCUUCUGGCCAGCCAGCAUCUCUCACUGGUGCUGUCUACUAACACCGUUUGACAUAGCUCCUCAUUGGUUCUGAGGGAGGAGGUGAGGAGUGGUGAGCAAAGCCAUGAGACAUGAGUCUUUCUGCAGAGCAGUGAAACCUGGGCCUGCAGUGGAGUCUUGCUACCCUGUGGGCCUUUUCCUGGAGGUGUCAGUGGUGGCCAAACCUGACCUGGCCUUUGAGGACCAUGCCCAGCCCAGGCUGGAGAGGAAAAUGCUUCUGUAGUGGAAGGAGGGCCUUUCAGCUGACCUCCCACAUAGCAAGAUUUAGCCAACUAUAAACUCCCCAUUCAAUCCUUCCAGCACCAGCUCUCAAGCCACUUCCACUCCCAGCACUGUCUGAACCUGCACACCUGUUCCUCCAGACUCUAACCGCUUUCCACCUGCUCCUUUAACCAAGCCAGUCUCCUCUCCCCUAACCUCUGCUGAGGAGGUGAGUAAGGAGUUGGUAGCGGUGGGGGUGGUUAGCCAAUCUUCAUGCCUCAGGGUCCCAUGGCCAGCAUAAAUCUCUCCUUCUUUCUCUUAACACCUGGCCGGCUCCUUGUCACUGUGCUAACAACAUUGUAUUGAUUUGCCCACGUGACUGCUUCCCCCAAAGACCAUAAACUCCUUGAGAGCAGAA
rnacentral:sRNA from 1 species